UAACCAUGAGUACUAAAGAGCAAGAGACCUCACACCAUGAGCACAGUAAAUUCUCAGUACACAACAUCCUCUGAAUACAUAAUCCAAGGCCACUGUAACAUCGUUUGAAAGCUCUAAAGGAUUGUAUGUGUGGAGAAAACAUGUUUCACUUCAUGAGAUGCGAGUUCCAAAAUUUGACUGACAGAAAAGACGAACACCACAAGCCUACUUUUCUACUUAGGUUUUGAAUAAGUAUUCCACGCGAGUAUUUUUGAAGGGAAAUUUGAAAAGUACUCAGGAUGAUUAAGGAGCUAAAUAUUAUGCUUGUAAACAACGACGUGAUAGUUUCGUAGAUCACGUUUUCCGUUGUGGUUUCCUGCGAGCAUUCUUGUGACCAGAUGGCUUCUGAAGACAUACACAGCACCGAUGCCACCGGCUCCGAUGAGGCCUGCCUAGCAUCCACCAUUACUAGACCUAUUACGUGCUGUACUAUAAAAGCAGGAUAAAGAGACGAUCCGAUCUUGGCCGGAUGAGAAGGUGUCGUGUCUACCAGAUUAAGUUUCCUUUGGCAUGUCUUCACUUAUGUGCCUAUUCGUCAUCCUCCCCUCUCCCCCGCCCGUCAAAAUACGUUGUCAUCGCCAUAGGAGAUAUGGUUUUUUUAAUGGUUUCGUUGAAUACAAAGAAAAUUGAACACUAAGGUCCAUGUUCUCACGAGAAAAAGAAGCAGAAACACAAGUAAUUCCAGCCAUUCUUGGAUCUUAGAACGACCUAUCUCCUAUUGCUUUUUCGCCUAUYGCCUAUCGCCUCUGGCCAUGACAAAGUUCAUUGAAAUAGGCGUAUAAAGCAGGUACGAAACUGUUUGAGUUUUGUUCCGCCAGCGCUGGAAAUCUUAUCCUUAAACUUUCUCAGUAGUUCUAUCGUAUAUUAAAACUUGUAAUGUGCUAUUCUAUACAGAGUGAUGAAACAUAAAUGUUUCCGACCGACUCUUGCAAA